CCUACGGGAGGCUGCAGUGGGGAAUAUUGGACAAUGGGGGGAACCCUGAUCCAGCCAUGCCGCGUGUGUGAAGAAGGCCCUCGGGUUGUAAAGCACUUUCAGUGAGGAAGAACGCCUGGUGGUUAAGACCCAUCAGGAAAGACAUCACUCACAGAAGAAGCACCGGCUAACUCCGUGCCAGCAGCCGCGGUAAUACGGAGGGUGCGAGCGUUAUUCGGAAUUACUGGGCGUAAAGCGCGCGUAGGUGGCUUGAUAAGCCGGUUGUGAAAGCCCCGGGCUCAACCUGGGAACGGCAUCCGGAACUGUCAAGCUAGAGUGAAGGAGAGGAAGGUAGAAUUCCCGGUGUAGCGGUGAAAUGCGUAGAGAUCGGGAGGAAUACCAGUGGCGAAGGCGACCUUCUGGACUGACACUGACACUGAGGUGCGAAAGCGUGGGUAGCAAACAGGAUUAGAUACCCUAGUAGUC
rnacentral:rRNA from 1 species